AGCGAACGCUGGCGGCAGGCUUAACACAUGCAAGUCGAGCGGGCGUAGCAAUACGUCAGCGGCAGACGGGUGAGUAACGCGUGGGAACAUACCUUUGGUUCGGAACAACACAGGGAAACUUGUGCUAAUACCGGAUAAGCCUUACGGGAAGAUUAUCGCCGAAGAUUGGCCCGCGUCUGAUUAGCUAGUUGGUGAGGUAACGGCUCACCAAGGCGACGAUCAGUAGCUGGCUGAGAGGAUGAUCAGCCACAUUGGGACUGAGACACGGCCAAACUCCUACGGGAGGCAGCAGUGGGGAUAUUGGACAAUGGGCGCAAGCCUGAUCCAGCCAUGCCGCGUGAGUGAUGAAGGCCCUAGGGUUGUAAAGCUCUUUUGUGCGGGAAGAUAAUGACGGUACCGCAAGAAUAAGCCCCGGCUAACUUCGUGCCAGCCGCCGCUGU
rnacentral:rRNA from 1 species